AAUCAGAUGUGUAUCAUUAUAAUGGAUGCGUUUGUCUCUUAAGGUGACCGCGCCUAAUUUACUAGCUCUGCUGUCAGUGUCUUUAAUGUAUGAAAAUGAAAGUAAAUCACUCACUGCUCUUGAUUGAAUUACUUUGUAGUUUUAACAAGAAUUUAUCCAAAGUCAAUCCAAAAAUCAGAUAGAAUUGUUUUACUAAUGGUGAAAUUGAUUUAAAAAAAAAAUAAUUAGGGACCUGACCAUGUUUUGCUUAAGUGUUUCUUUCUUUAAUUGCUAAUGCAACCUUUUCACACCACAGACUGAACCAAGUUAAGCAUUGCUUGCUUGGUAACUGUUCAACAAAGUAUUGAUAGUUGUGUAAAUAUUGUCAUACUGACAGUUGUCUGAAGUUUUGGUUGAUUCCAUUACAUAUCUUUUUAUCAAAGUUAUCCGACAUUAUCAAGUUGAAUUUGUUCUGAGUUAUUGUCAUAUUUUAUUACCAAUUUCUAAACUACAGCAAAUAAACUGUGAUAAUGUGAGAAAUGUUGAA